AGAUAAAAAAUAAUAAUUUCUUCCUUGCUUGGCCUUGCACGGAUCCUGCCCAGAGCAGGAAGCCAACGCUGAAGAACUGUCAGGUGCCUGCUGGCUCUUCUGCUCUUUCUUCAUCAGUGGGCUCCAAUAUAAGCAAGUUAAUCAGCCAAAACACUUUAGCACCCAGCCAUGUGUACACUGCUGCACAGGCUAGCUUAUAUAGUAAGGGCUGACUAUAGUAAGGGCUAAGAAAGGGCUUGCAAACUAUUUAAAGGGGUAGUCAGUAUCUCCUGCUACGUGCUGCCUCCUUCUAUGCGCAGAUCCAUCCACACAAAUUACAAGAAGAGCUGAAUCACUGCGUUAUAAAUAGACUCACUACUUAUUUUUUCUCCCUGAAAAUAAUUUCAAACUGAACAUGCCUACUCUAUUCACUUUGAAUUACUGUGCCUAAGAAAAGAGAAGACAUUUUCUAACUCUUUCUAGUUUCCCUAUUAUUAGUCUCACUGUUAAAAGCCUUGACUGUUAGCCUUUGGGAUGCAAACCUGCUCCCGUUUAAGUCAAUGUGAGUUUUAUGAUUGACUUAAUUGGAAGUGAGAUUGAGCCACUGGGCAUGUGAGUGGUUUUGUGUAGAGCUGGAAACAAAAUAAUAAAGGAGACUGAGGCAAAAUGUGGUGCCAUUUUUUAUUUUUUAUUUUUUGCAUCUAAGCAAUAACCCAGCUUUGCCCAGCCUGCCCACAGUCAUGCCAAAAGGGAAGCCUAGGCUGAAAGGAAGUGCUCAUAAUAUUAUAGCUUAAUUAGUUUAUGGGAGAAAAAUGUUGAAGGGGAGAGGAGUUCCCAUUGUUUUUUUUUUUUUAUUAUUUUAUUUUAGUUUUUGUCAUUGCUAAACUGACUAGCAUUUUCUGCUUGAUGCUAACUUAGCCGGAGUCCUUGCCCUGUUCCUCUGCAGCCUGCCCAGGUCUCUGCUCCCUCUUCAAGCCCAGGUUUUAGUUUAAUGACUGUCAUGCUGGGUACCUCUGAAAGCACAGAAAACACUUCUUUUCUGUGUAUCUAAUUUGCCCAUUAUUAACAUUAUCCCCAAUCUUUUAAGUAGCUGAUUAUUAAGCAAAGAAAUAGCAGUGAAGCAAGGAAAGAAUGUGAUAGGGAGAUUUACUGUGUGGGAGGCAGAGAUAAAAUUAGAUUUCUUUAAGCUGUGUAGUACAGUUAUUAGGAAGUUAGGCUAAUUUUUCAAGAAGCUGUCACUUAAAUAACCUCAUCUUAUUAUUCAUGCUGAGGUAUUUACUACAGAAAUUCUUUCCCCCAGGUCAUCGUCUUUUUCCAGUAGCAGAAGUUGGGAACUCAACAAUUGUUUACGUGCCCGAAUAAUGCAAUGCCAUGUUAUGGACUGUCUCAGCAUCAACUCCAGUUUGGUGGCACAUCAGCCUGCGUGCUCCUCCUGAGUGUCUUGGUGAACCAGGAGAGUUCUGCAGAAGCUCACAUGGCUUUUUACCACAGAUUCAACCUCUCAAAACUCAAGGGGACUUUGAGUCUACUAAGUAUGAGGAACUUAGUGGAGAACAGCAGCUUAUUGUUUAUAUACCACAAAACACAAUAAAGGGAUUGAGUAAGGAAAAAAAAAAAAAAAAAAAAAAAAAAAAGGUUUACUUGUUUAAAAUGAGAAGCAUAUGAAAUUCAAGGUAGGCAAAACAUGUCCUUAAAACUUGGAUACUGUUCUAGUAGGGGAAUGGGAACCCUAGAGAAGAUCCCUGAUCAUCUGCUGAGGAUGUUACCUUCAAAACAGCAACCAGAAAAAUCAGCCUUUAAAGCAACCACUUUGAUUCAUAAAAAUAGGUAUAAAAAAUGAUAAGGAAGCUCCAAGACUAGACCAAAAAGGAUGAAUAUGACUGGUUGAGGCUAGGGUGGCACAUUUUUGACAAUUCCAAAAACAGGACAAGAGGAAAAUAUUGUUAUUGGGAAAUGUAUUUUUCUUUGAAACUUCAUACUGCAGAGUAAUUAAGUAGCAAGUAGCAUGAAGGAGCUUGUUUUCAAGGUGGGUACAGAACUGGUGGAGAGCUAAUUUAGGACAACAUGCUACUGAUGUACGUACAGCUCUUCUCACCUCUACCAACUGCUGCUCUAAUUUUACGUGCGUUCCCUCUUCCUCCUUCCUCUUUUCAUAUGUCUCCUCUACUUUCUCUCUCUCUUUUUUUUUUUCUCCCUCCCCUUCUUCAAACAAAGCAAAUACACACUCUUUUUAUAAGUACUUAUAGGUGAGGCAGCAGACUUUGAACCCACCUGGUAAAUUUGCAUGGCAAUUUCACAAGACCAUCAGGCUCGUCUAAUUCUCAGAAGCAUCUGUCCUUAAAAACACUUGUAGCAGAAGUGACAUUGUAAACAAGACAUGCGUCCCCAAUGAGCAAAUGAAGACUUUCAGAAACAAGUUUCAUUCAGUAAUACACGUCAGCAUUCAGUCAAUUGUUUUCUUAACCUGAUUAUGGCAUUGUGCUUUGUGAACAAUAAACACUACUUUCAUUUUGCUCUUUUAUAAGAAAAGAAAACUUGGUGGUAGGGAAUUAUAUCUUGGGAGUGCAAAGGCAGUCAGGAAAACUGCAGCUGGGACAUUGAUUCAAGGCAGGGUGCCUUGAAAACAUCUUUCAGGCUGAUUUUUGUCUCCCUUGGUGAGCUUGACCUGUUCCUUCAGGUUUCUUCUGCUGCAGUACGUGUGACUGUAGGACAGUAGGAAAACCUCCUUCUCCAUCACGUGAAAACAAGUUUCCCCAGUCUCCAACACGCACACACACUGUCCUGCUCCUGGAUGAGCACACCGCACACUGUCUGGGGCUUUCCAGAUGUCAGCCAGUUGUUUUGGCAGCUGUGCAUCUUCUACAUCUUUCUUCUUCGCCUGGCUCUCAAGGUGCCCCAGAUGCUGUGAAUUUCUUUCCAAUGUUCCAGGUUUGCCUUUGUGUCUCUGCACAACUCCCUCACAGCCUUUGAGCAUAACUGUUCUGCCUUUGUCCCAGCCCUUUGCAAAAUGUGAUUAGUAAAUAUUUACCUGGCUGAGAGGCACACUGUGAGGCCUGGGGGCUGGCUCUGCAGUACCUGCUGUGAUGUGAAAUUCCAGGAGAUAAGGAGGUGAGCUUAACUUCAGCAAACCUCAGACUAAUUGAGUGACUUUUUAAAAAUUGCAAUACGAGAGCACACAACUUCUGUAGGGCUCCAAUAUCCUUCUGGGGGCUGUAUUAGUUAGAUGGAGCCACAUGCAGCAUCCAUCAGAGGGUAUGUUCAUUACUGUUGGAGCAAGCUGACCCUCCCUUCUUAUUUAUGCCCUACAAAGUGUAAAUUUCAGAAAUGAAUAGUUGAUCUACUCUCUAUGCAGUGACACAUUGCCCAAGGCCAAGCUUUUUUUUUAUUAUUUUUCCUGGAGUAUCUGCUUGCUCCAUCGGAUCAUGCCCACAUACCGCUAUUUCAGUUCCUAACCUAGCAAUUAUCCAGCUACAUGCAUGUGCAGCCAGCACACCGAACACGACUUCCUCCCCGGUGAGUUAAAUGAAACUCAGGUAUCUUUUUCCCUCCUUUUAUCAAAUUGACCCUUUGUAAAUUAUCCUGUAUUUUUUUUUGCUUUGUGAUUGAACUGUAGCCAUUUAGAACUAUAAAGAUAAAUCCUUUUAAACCCCAACUUUCUUCUCUUGACAGUUUGCAAUUUUAUUUUAUUUUUUUAAUGACUAAUUAGCCGGGGGCUCUGUGGAUAAGCUGUUGGCUUUAGUGCCUUGCUUCAGGACCCCUUCCUGCUAAAGAGUAAAAGGCAGAGAAACUGCAAUAGCACUGCUCAGCAUCAGUUUUCCCCCCACUGGAAAUCUGUCACUCACCUCUUUACCUCUGGGCGUGAAGAAAAAGAAGAAAAGGAACAAUAUGUGGGAGAAGUCCAUGGUGUGUUGUCUGGCAAUCUGCCAUGCUAAUGUUUCCUUCACUGGGAAGCAGCUGAAAAGAGAAAGGACUUGCUGACUUGCUCCUCAUGCCAUCCACGUGUCCAUGGUCAAGCAGAAGUUGCCACGCAGUGGAAAACUAAAGCUGGAACAGGCAGUAAGGUAAGCAGAAGCAGAGAGAAAUCCCACGUCAAUAUAUGGAGGAAAAUUGGUCAGCAGAAAGUUCUUGGGAGGUGCUGGACACCCGCCUGGGUGGGAGAAGACGAAGACCGAGGGUGUCACCUGAUGGCACUGGGGCAGAGGGGCCGGGAGCCAUGGGGGUGCCUCCAAGGAGCCCUGCCUCCGGCACAAGGCCAAGAGUGCUCUUGAGUAGAGGAUUUGAACUCGCAGGGCUCCUUCCAAGCCUCUUCAUCUGAUGGGAAAAUUUUCAAUAUCAUAUAGCAGUGCCUCUGUGAAUUUUCCUCUUUCUUCCUGGGGUAAAUGGGUGAAAGGAGUCGGCACAGGUUUAGACAGUGGCACCCGGUGUGGUGAGGAGCUGCUUUACAUGCUUUACAUGCAGUGGGCUGUUAACUAAUUAAACCUCUAGGCUGAGCAGUAGCCUAAACAUUAGUUGAACAUAGUUAACAAAACAAUGAUACUUUACAUCCUAAGAAUAAAUAGAAUUCCAAGGAAUUAUGAAGACGUAUUGGAGAGUGGCUUGGAGAUUUGUAAAGGUACCUGUGUGUUUAGGUGAUCACCCAAUAGAUUAGAUAGAUCUAAUCUUGGAAAAUAUAACAGUCAAAAAUAAAUAAAUAAAUAAAUAAAUAAAAGAAGAAAACUAUUAAAAAGGGAAAUGUAAAGUUUAUCUUUAAAGGAAACCCAUAUAGUCAGCUCUGGCAUAGGACUAAUUUGCACGUCUUUAGGAAUUUAAAAUUAUUUCUUCUAGUUCAUAUUCACCAUGAUUAUAAGAUGUAUUUCAGAGGAAGGAAAACAUUUAAGCAAGGAAAUGAAAUUAAGCCAUUAUUUACUUUUUGGGGGUCACUUCCAUUUGCAGGAAGAGUCCUUGGAAAGAACUAAUCUCCUCUCACUCUCUCCCUUCCCACCACCCCUAUCUGUAGUAGAAAUAUUCACUGUGACACAGAUGACAGUACAAAUACUGGGGUUCAGCUUAGGCAAGUGAGAUAUCUAGAUAAAUUGCUUUUUCUCUCUGGGGAUUAAAAAAAACAAACAUGCAUUAAAAAGUGUUAUUUAAUG